GGACUACAAGGGUUUCUAAUCCUGUUUGCUCCCCACGCUUUCGAGCCUCAGCGUCAGUUAUCGUCCAGUAAGCCGCCUUCGCCACUGGUGUUCCUCCUAAUAUCUACGCAUUUCACCGCUACACUAGGAAUUCCGCUUACCCCUCCGACACUCUAGUACGACAGUUUCCAAUGCAGUACCGGGGUUGAGCCCCGGGCUUUCACAUCAGACUUGCCGCACCGCCUGCGCUCCCUUUACACCCAGUAAAUCCGGAUAACGCUUGCCCCCUACGUAUUACCGCGGCUGCUGGCACGUAGUUAGCCGGGGCUUCUUAGUCAGGUACCGUCAUUUUCUUCCCUGCUGAUAGAGCUUUACAUACCGAGAUACUUCUUCACUCACGCGGCGUUGCUGCAUCAGGCUU
rnacentral:misc_RNA from 1 species